rnacentral:misc_RNA from 1 species
GCUCGGUCCCAAAAACAUCUGAGACUGCUGAUUCAACUCAGAGUCUGUCACAGCUGAUGGAGACUACACUUCACACUAAUCCUGCUAUUGCUGAAGCACUGAAAUCUGUCCCUGAGCCACUUCGGGCUAUCGUUUCAAAAGUCUCUCAGGAUUUAAUUGUGAAAGCUUCAUCCCUCCCAGCUCUUGCUCAACUUAUCCAGCUUUACGGGCCUGGAUCUCCCAAUGGUCCUGUUGGUGGAUCAUCAAGUGCAUCUGGUGCUCCAACUAAUCCAACUAAUAGUGCCACCGGUGAGCCAAAUUCUGCAAUUGUUCCUGUCCCAGAAACAGCAAGCAACUCUGAUACCGAACCGAUUUCAAAGCAGAAGGGAAAGGCUAGCAUUGCCCAGGGCUCAAUAGUUGCAAUGCCUAUGCCUGUUGAUCUGAAUCUUAAUCCUCCUAGUAAACAACUUGAAUCCGA